rnacentral:ncRNA from 2 species
AACUAAAUACAUAUCAUUUCUCGUAUAUAUUUGGAAAUAUGGUCCAAACGUUUCUACCAAACUACCGUAAAUGGUUUGACUACGAGUGUACGCUACUUUUAC